rnacentral:rRNA from 1 species
CCCAGACUCCUACGGGAGGCAGCAGUGGGGAAUAUUGCACAAUGGGGGAAACCCUGAUGCAGCGACGCCGCGUGAGUGAAGAAGUAUUUCGGUAUGUAAAGCUCUAUCAGCAGGGAAGAAGCAAGACGGUACCUGACUAAGGAGCCCCGGCUAACUACGUGCCAGCAGCCGCGGUAAUACGUAGGGGGCAAGCGUUAUCCGGAUUUACUGGGUGUAAAGGGGGCGCAGACGGCGAUGCAAGCCAGGAGUGAAAGCCCGGGGCCCAACCCCGGGACUGCUCUUGGAACUGCGCGGCUGGAGUGCAGGAGGGGCAGGCGGAAUUCCUGGUGUAGCGGUGAAAUGCGUAGAUAUCAGGAGGAACACCGGUGGCGAAGGCGGCCUGCUGGACUGCAACUGACGUUGAGGCCCGAAAGCGUGGGGAGCAAACAGGAUUAGAUACCCCCGUAA